GAUGAACGCUAGCGGCAGGCUUAAUACAUGCAAGUCGAACGGUAACAGGCCCGGCAACGGGUGCCGACGAGUGGCGCACGGGUGCGUAACACGUAUGCAACCUACCCUUAACCGGGACAUAACACUGAGAAAUUAGUGCUAAUAUUCCAUGGUAUUACGAAGAGGCAUCUUUUUGUAAUUAAAGAUUUAUUGGUUAGGGAUGGGCAUGCGUCCCAUUAGUUAGUUGGAGUGGUAACGGCACAACAAGACGAUGAUGGGUAGGGGUCCUGAGAGGGUUAUCCCCCACACUGGUACUGAGACACGGACCAGACUCCUACGGGAGGCAGCAGUAAGGAAUAUUGGGCAACGGGCGGGAGCCUGACCCAGCCAUGCCGCGUGCAGGAAGACGGCCCUAUGGGUUGUAAACUGCUUUUGUUUGGGACUAACAGCCGGGUCGUGACCCGGCCUGCAGGUACCGAAUGAAUAAGCAUCGGCUAACUCCGUGCCAGCAGCCGCAGUAACAC
rnacentral:rRNA from 1 species